AAAGCAACGCUCGGAGCAGAGUUUGAGCUUGGACUUGAGUUCGGAGGCUUUUGCAGGCAGCAUGUACGUAACCUUUUGGAUCUUUUCAGUUUCAGCGUGUAGAGGCAUCAGGUUUUUCUUUUUUCUCUAACCGUCUCUACUUACAAACAUGUGUGAGUUUUUCUGCUUCAGUAGAGUUUCAGAGCAGACGUUGGAAAAACAGCGUAAUUGGUCCACGCUGAGAGAAGAAUAAGAAGACGAGGAUCCUGAUAAAGAGAGAUGUGUAAGAGAAGGAGGCAGGGAAGUGAGGCCUGACUCAUUCAGGAAGGAAGUACAGGAAAUGUCCCAUCAGGAAAACAAGUAGCGAUGUAAUUGUGAUUCCUUCACUCAUUUACUGUCCGGGUGGUCGUGAAAGCAGAGCAUUGAUUGUGUGUAUCCAUGUGUGUGUGCAGGCAGUUACCCAUGUUUGGUAUGUAGGGAAAAAAGUGAAAGAGACUUUGGUAAAUGCCCGUGGUGAUUGACCAAACAAUGCUGCUAACAGCAAGUGUGCGUGUAGUUUUGUGUUAAGGACCCCCUUAAGUGUUUCCCAAUUAAGAGGUUAUAAUGUUCAUUAGGCCUUAAACCAAAUUUCUGAUUUCAUGUUUAAUAUUUGUUUUGAAUGUUCCUUUCAUUCAACGUUAUAAUCAUACUUUUUUUUUUACCUUUUUGUAUGUAACACAAUAUUGUCUUACUAUUCUGUUUUAUUUGUAAUGUUUGCAAGCUUUACAGCGCAAUAAUGAUUUUGACAAACAUUAUCAAAUAACAUGAGACAAAUAAUUCAAAUGAAUAUGAAUGCAAAAGCAGAAAUUAGUGAAAACAUUUGUGUAUUAUUUGCAAUAUUGGUAUAGUGGCUAUAGUGGUAUCUGUUUUUGAGUGUAUUGCAAAUGUGUCCUUUAUAUUUCAGCCUUCUCCUGUACAGUAGUGUAUUGAAUAUCAAAUGUGGUGUUGACAAUGGUUGUUUUAUUUCAAUGAUUCAAAGUUCUGGUUCACUAAAUGUACUAAAAAGCACAGUUAACACAUUUAGAAGAUGAAUGUAAUGCAUUUUAGGGAUACUGGCUGUUGAGGUAAGUGAGACAGUGUCUGGGUUUUGUUGUUAUGUCCAGACCUCCAGACGUCCUUAUAGUCUGCAGUAUAUCUGGUUUUUGCUUCCCCUUGUGGUGAGGGGGAGACGGUGCCUGGGCUCAAUCUCCUGUGCCUACUGAGCUGAUAACAGUUUGAUGUUAAACAAACACUGGCUCAGUUCAGCAGGAACCGGAGUUAGGCCUUCUAGAAACCGCAAAGGAUUUGAUAACUAUUGAGGGUUACAUAAUGUACACCAAAAAUGUGUAUGUGUCUAUGUUUGCCUAAGCACUAUAAAGUCGAGUGUUUGCAUCUGUUCCUUUAUUACUAGUUUCUUCAGCUGAGGGUGCCAUUAUUUCUUUACUGCUCAGAAUGUUCUUUAGACUUUUUCCACAAAGUCCCAUCAAGGACAUUCUUCAGAGAUGAGGAAGCACAGGACGCACAUAAACGUAGCCACAAAUCCUGUCUGAACUUCUCACUGUGACGCUUGUGAUGGAGGAAAUCUGUUUCUGUUGGUUGUGUAUUACUAGAAGAUCACAGGAGCAGAGUUUUUCCAGUUGUACUCUCUACGCCAGGUGGCAGAAAGGCUCCAGUAAGACUCAUUAGGGUGUCAUUGAAGCCAUUGUGAUUGUUAAUGGACUGCACUUUUACUUGUCUUGGUGAAAAAUGUAACCUUGACAUUUUUUUUUUUUUUGGAUAAAAACGUUUUCUACUAAUGUUUCAUGCUCAUAAUAUCUUGCAGAUGACAGUUAUUGCAAACAGACUCAAUUUAAUUUCAGACUGUGUGCUUUAGAGUUUCUUUUAGCCUCCUAUCACUUUGUAUUGCUGUUUACCUCAGAGCAUGUAAAAGUUAAAUAUGGAGGAUACUAACUUCAGCCUGUAUUCAGCUUGGAAAAGCAACUGCUUGAAUAUCCAGUGCUGGGUGGUAUAUUCCACUUAUAUUCAAACUAGAUAAUCUAGAUAAAUAGGUUUUAUUUUUCUUUAGUAAGUACGAUAUGUUUAUCUCUGCUAUCGUCACUCCUUCAUUGUCUGUGGCAGCCAAAUUCAUUUGUUCAUCAAGAAAUUAUGCACCACAUCAAGGUGUCUAUGAACAACCCCAGAGCAUUGUUCCAACCUAUAUUUACUGACUGAGCCCUUUUGUUUACAUUAUUUAUAAAUGUCUAAUCAUUAUGCAAGAGCUUCUUUGCACAGCAUCACUUAGUGCCGGAAACUUCACCUUCUUCAAUUAAUCCUGUUAAUGAGUUUAUUCCUGAUUACAAGAAUAUAUUACCAAAGGUACUGUAAAGGAAAUAAAUAUGUGCUUAAGUUAA